ACGAAGGGGGCUAGCGUUGUUCGGAAUUACUGGGCGUAAAGCGCGCGCAGGCGGCCAUUCAAGUCAGGGGUGAAAUCCCAGAGCUCAACUCUGGAAUUGCCUUUGAGACUGUCUGGCUUCGAGUACGGGAGAGGUGAGUGGAAUUCCCAGCGUAGAGGUGAAAUUCGUAGAUAUUGGGAAGAACACCGGUGGCGAAGGCGGCUCACUGGCCCGUUACUGACGCUCAGGCGCGACAGCGUGGGGAUCAAACAGGAUUAGAUACCCUGGUAGUCCACGCCGUAAACGAUGGACGCUAGCCGUUGGCAAGCUUGCUUGUCAGUGGCGCAGCUAACGCAUUAAGCGUCCCGCCUGGGGAGUACGGCCGCAAGGUUG
rnacentral:rRNA from 1 species